CCCAGGAGUCCACUCGGCAAGUCUCCACACUCACCCGGUCGCUUCAUCAAGAAGUCCGCUGGGAAAUGUAGUGCUUGCAGCAGCGGGGCACACAUCGCUGGGGAAGGAAGGCGGGAAGUGCGCCGCCGGUGGCAGGACAGGGACCGGACAACGACUCAGCACACCCCCAAUUUUGUGCGGUUGGAGAAGGGCCCAGGUCCUCUGUACCUAGCGGAGCGAGGUGCCAGUAGGGUUCACGCGCUGGCGAGCUGCCUGGAGGUCCCUGACGGGAAGGUGCCAACCGCAGGGGGUCGAGCUCGAACCUGCCCCACCCUGGCUGCGGCCGCGCCGGGAGGAAGCGCGCAGAGGCCGAGUGCAAAAGUUUCCUUUUCUGCUUUCCCGUCAGCAGAGCAGCUUCAGCUAACCGAGGGUGGGGAUGCAUGACUUCAGUCGGAAGAAAGCCCGGGAGCCCAAGAGGCUAAAAUAAGCGACUUCCCGAAAAAAAAUUUAAAAACAAACAAAAAAACCAAACCAAUACAACAACAACAACAAAAAACCUCUCCCCACCGCUAGUCAUGGGCAGCCGCGAUCACCUGUUCAAGGUGCUGGUGGUGGGGGACGCCGCUGUGGGCAAGACGUCGCUGGUCCAGCGCUACUCCCAGGACAGCUUCAGCAAGCACUACAAGUCCACCGUGGGAGUGGACUUUGCUCUGAAGGUUCUCCAGUGGUCUGACUCAGAGAUGGUGCGGCUUCAAUUGUGGGAUAUUGCAGGACAGGAGCGGUUCACCUCUAUGACACGACUAUACUAUCGAGAUGCUUCUGCCUGUGUUAUUAUGUUUGAUGUCACCAAUGCCACUACUUUCAGCAACAGCCAAAGAUGGAAACAGGAUCUGGACAGCAAGCUCACACUACCCAGUGGAGAGCCAGUGCCCUGCCUACUCUUGGCCAACAAGAGUGAUCUGUCCCCUUGGGCAGUGAGCAGGGACCAGAUUGACCGGUUCAGUAAAGAGAACGGUUUCACAGGUUGGACAGAAACAUCAGUCAAGGAGAACAGAAAUAUUAAUGAGGCCAUGAGAGUCCUUGUUGAAAAGAUGAUGAACAAUUCCAGAGAAGAUAUAAUGUCUUUGUCCACUCAAGGGAACUACAUCAAUCUCCAAGCCAAGUCCUCCUCUGGCUGGACAUGCUGCUAGUUCUGUUUUCCAGGAGGACAGGUGACUAAAUAAACAAAGGAGAAUAGCCGUGGGGCAGCCAAUUGGGGCCAUCAGCAUCUGAGUGAAGAUUUGUUCUUUAUCUUUACUAAGUAUCCAGGAUUAUUCCACAAGGCUUCCGUAAGUGACUGGCAGUAACCGGCAGCAUUUUGAUACCUUCACACAAAUUGAAUUUGAUCCCCAUUCAAGUUAAGAACUAACUCUGUUGAGUGGAGAUAAAAAGGAGAAGGAUGUGAAGAUUAAGAAUUCAUGAUUUAUGAUAUGAACCAGAAGAACCGCAUUUUGUCACUCAGAUCUGCAAGGUGUGUGUGCUUCUUCAGCUGUCUUUGAAAUAAGAAAACCAACAGUUCUUUCUAUUUUAUGCUUGAGGGAACAAAUGUCUCAAAAUUUGACUGACUGCAAGGCAGCUGGUUGCAUUUGUAAUUGAGCCAAGACAUAACUGCACGUCUUCUCAUUCCCCAGCUCUACUCUGUCACUUGGGUUUCUGGGAAACAUUUGGCCUAAAAAACCCUUUUUAGAAAUUAAGCUCAGACAUUUAGAGAAACAGAACUGAGUCCUUCGGGGUUUUAAGCUCCUGAUUUGUGUUAGGUGUAUUGCUUUUAAGGACGCAUCCCUGCAUAGGAUAGAAACACGUUAUUAAAUUUGGGGCAAACAAGCUGUAACUUGAAUAACAAUCAGUACAGGCACUUUGUACAAUGUUUCAGCGACCAGUUGUACUGCGAUACAUCAUCAAGUGUAGUGAAUAUCUGGGUUUCAUUUGUUUGUUUGCAAGUCCAGGGACUUUGAUGGUUAUUCUAAUUUCCAACAGCUGCUGGUGAGAGCUAAUGUUAACUUGAGUUAACCACAUUUUCCUAAACACCCCACACAGACCAUUUUUGUUUUCACAAUGACUGUAAGAAAGAAAUACAGCUGGGCAGUAGUGGCACAUGCCUUUUAUCCCAGAACUCAGGAGGCAGAGUGAAUUCAAGGCCAGCCUUAUCUACAAAGUGAGUUCCAGGACAGCCAGGGCUCCACAGAGAAACCCUUUCUCAAAAAACCAACCCCCCCAAAAAAUAUAGAAAAAAGAAAAGAAAUACCUGAGGAAAGUGAAGCUCCUUGAUCCAUUUUGUGGAGCUAAAGGUCAAACUCUGGGCCCCAUGCACAAGUUCUCUAGACUGAGCUGUGCUCCAGCCCUACUUAAGUAACAGAUUCUUUUCCCCACAACUGGUGAUUAUUCCAACAGUGGUCAUCAAAUAUUCUAUUUCUUUCUAAUUUGAAAGCACAAAUGAAAACAACAUUUAAAUUAAGGAUGUUUCUGGAAUGUGUGUUCUAUUACACUGAUUCUCAUACACUGUCAAUAACGUGUUGUCAGUGUGUAGGUGUCUUAAACUACAUGUUGGCAUUGUCAGGCAAAGCAUUUCUAAUUUUCUUCCUAUUUUUUAAAAAAAUUCUUGACAUUUAUUCUCCGGAAUAAACUUGAGAGUACUAGUAAA